GUCUUGGCUGUAAACGGUGCGUAUUUGCUGUAAACGGAAUCGACCCCGUUUGUGGCGUAGCUAACGCGAUAAAUACGCCGCCUGGGAAGUACGGUCGCAAGAUUAAAACUCAAAGAAAUUGACGGGGCCUGCACAAGCGGUGGAGUAUGUGGCUUAAUUCGAUGCAACGCGAAGAACCUUACCUGGCCUUGACAUGCAUGUGGUAGAACCAUGAAAGUGGGACGAUCCCGCAAGGGAAGCAUGCACAGGUGCUGCAUGGCUGUCGU
rnacentral:rRNA from 1 species